UCAAAGAAUACUGGGAAAGGUAACUGAGUCAGAGGAAGUGAAGAGAAGGUUAGGAGGGGAAAGUGUGGUGACAGAGAAAAAGUACCAAGAGAUGUAUGUGAAUAGUCCAGGGAAAGGUGUGGUUGAUAAGCUUAAAGGUAUGGUUGGGACAUGGUUUACCAACCCAGCAGAGAAUCAAUCUUCACAAGAUUUAUCUAUGAAUUAUGAGGCAGGAAGGGCAGAAGUGGAACAAGUUAACCAAGGUGCAGCAGGUGAAAGAAGGCAGCAGGAGUCAUCUAAUUGAAGAAGGGCUUUGAAGGAGUCUUUGCUUUGGGUGAUUGUGUAGAUUUUCUUAAAAGCUGUUUCUAUAUCUGUGUGUCUAGUUCUUUCUUGGAAGAAAGUUAGGAUGUUCAAGUCACAGUAAAAUAAAUAUUUGUGUUUUUUUUAAUGUUUAUGUAAAUAUCCAAUUUUAUCCGGGUUUA